AUGCGCGUACUUGUCAUUUGGAUUGUGUGGGGAGCAUGCCUGAUAGAUCCCAAUCAUGGAGAUACCGUCACACAAUCGCUGCCGUCAGCACAGAAGGUGGAAGGAGAGUCGGCGACUUUCAGCUGCACCUAUGACACCGCAGCAACGUACUACCACUUAUUUUGGUACCGGCAUCAUCAGGACUCAAGGCCCGAGUUCAUACUGAGGAAAUAUUCAGAAGGAGCCGAGGAGAAAGCCGAUUUUGCAGACGAUCGCUUCUCUGCCCAACUCCAGACCAAUAGAAAAUUGGUCAGUUUAACCCUAUCGGGGUUGGAGCUGAGCGACACUGCAAUUUAUUACUGCGCCCUGAGCCUCACAGUGAUGAAAACCAGAGCGCAGUACAUCGAGUCCUUUAUUGCCAACGUCAUCGCAGACGCGGACAAGAGGAAGGCGAUUCCACACUUGCUCGUUGCUAGCACCGCGGAAGCCUGGCGCGGCUCCUAUUUCUGA